AAACUAGUCAACUCGAUUGUUAUUGUCUUGCUUUUCUUCUUUCCUUUCCUUUUAUUUUUUUUUCGAGUAAAGUAUUUCUUUCUUUAUCUUUUUUAUGGGAGCGCAGGAAAAGCUGAGAAGGAGA
rnacentral:ribozyme from 1 species